AGAACUGACAGAUGAUCACCGUGCUCACCUCCGGGGGCAUCGGAACAGCCCCGGGUCGCCGGAACAGUGAUCCAAACAGGAAACUAGUGCGCAGACAGGCUGAAAACAGCGUACCGGACAUGGUGGAGCUAGGGCACGGCCGGCGGCUGUCGGACGGCGUGCGCGUCGGCCGGGGAAGGGUGCGGCAGGUCGAAGGGGUCCGGGAAAGGUGCUGGCCGACGGCGGGAGGCGGCCGGUGACGCGGCGGAGGAGAUCAAUUCCUCGACUUGCUCUCGGGUUCAAGGGU
rnacentral:lncRNA from 1 species